rnacentral:rRNA from 1 species
UACAGAGGGGGCAAGCGUUGUUCGGAAUUACUGGGCGUAAAGGGUUCGUAGGUGGCCUGCUAAGUCACACGUGAAAUCCCUCAGCUUAACUGGGGAACUGCGUGUGAGACUGGCGGGCUUGAGUGCAGGAGAGGAACGCGGAAUUCCAGGUGUAGCGGUGAAAUGCGUAGAUAUCUGGAGGAACACCGGUGGCGAAGGCGGCGUUCUGGACUGCUACUGACACUGAGGAACGAAAGCCAGGGGAGCAAACGGG